GUCUGGAUGCCUCCGGCGCAUCGACCCUCCCCGUCCCUGCUCGCUCCUCCACCCGGAGGCACCCACUGAGCCGCCCCUCCUCACCUCGUCCACACACGCGCUGCGCUGCAGGGAGUCCAACGUUCAAGAACAGAGCUGCUGUAUACGCGAUCCCUGUGUACACAUCACACUGGAAUGACCAUGAAGAAGGAAACAAUAAGCCAAACAGACUUCAACCAAGGGGACAGGCACCCGCACUCCAUGCUAGUUAUUUCUAGCGCCUCCUUAGAGAGGAGCUCCGGGCCACCCGAGGGAAAGCCUCCUCUCUCAGAAAGGGGACAGCUUCUCUGCAGUUUCUACAAAGUGCCCACACAGGACUCGGGAGAGCCAUUAAACAGCUCUUUCCUCAAGGUGAGAACUAGUGGUCCAACUAUGAAGACACGGGAAUCUGAUUUCCGUCAUCUAACAUCUUCCUGGGUUUCCAGCUAGCUCAGACUAUCAACUGAUAGUUAUCACAUCAAGGAACUACUGGUGUAAGACAAAGGAAAGAAGACUUCCCAACUCUGAUGGGUCAUAGUGGCCUAUGUUAUUUCCAAUAAGAAAACACAGAACCCUAAGAAGCAAUAAAUGGCCAGGUUGUGGGCUUGAUCCCCAGUGUGGGGCGUACAGGAGGCAGCCUAUCAAUGAUUCUCUCUCAUCACUGAUGUUUCUACUUCUCUCUCCCUCUCCCUUCCUCUCUUAGAUCAAUAAAAACAUAUUUUUAAAAAAAAAAACACACAUAAGAAUUUUGAACAAGAAAAACAGACUGAAGUUCUGAAUGUGACAUUCUAAAGACACAUGUGGAACCUGACGUACAAUGUGAAAUGUAAUUACAAUCAAAGCUGGGGUUUUUGCCCAGAGUUCUUCUCCACAAUACCUGUGCACUGUAUACCCAGGUUCUUUAAAACGUGAAUAAUAUUAGUGUGUUAACAUGCAUAAGUAUUUAACAAACUUAAUAUAAUUUUCUGUAAUCUGCUUGAAAUACAAUAGCUAAGGCAAAUGGGAAAGUUAUCACUGCUUUUAGGUAAUUCCCAUAUUAUAUUUCUACUUACCUGUA